rnacentral:rRNA from 1 species
UAGGGAAUCUUCCACAAUGGGCGAAAGCCUGAUGGGGCAACGCCGCGUGUGUGAUGAAGGGUUUCGGCUCGUAAAACACUGUUGUAAGAGAAGAAUGACAUUGAGAGUAACUGUUCAAUGUGUGACGGUAUCUUACCAGAAAGGAACGGCUAAAUACGUGCCAGCAGCCGCGGUAAUACGUAUGUUCCAAGCGUUAUCCGGAUUUAUUGGGCGUAAAGCGAGCGCAGACGGUUAUUUAAGUCUGAAGUGAAAGCCCUCAGCUCAACUGAGGAAUUGCUUUGGAAACUGGAUGACUUGAGUGCAGUAGAGGAAAGUGGAACUCCAUGUGUAGCGGUGAAAUGCGUAGAUAUAUGGAAGAACACCAGUGGCGAAGGCGGCUUUCUGGACUGUAACUGACGUUGAGGCUCGAAAGUGUGGGUAGCAAACAGG